GAGGAAAGUCCGGACACCGGGAAACACGGGACCGGGCAAUCCCCGGAAUUUGAACCCUGAGAGAAAUUUCAGGGGAACGAGUAUGGAAAGUGCAACAGAAAGGAUACCGCCCGUCGGAGAAAUUCGACGUGGUAAGGGUGAAAUGGCGGGGUAAGAGCCCACCUCCGAUUUCGAGAGGGAUCGGGAACGGUAAACCCUCCCGGGUGCAAUCUCAAAUAGGCAGCCUUUUUGCCGUUUCCGCAGGGCUGCGGGUAGAGAGCAAGGACUCCGAUCGGUAACUUUCGGAGCAAGAUAAAUGAUCAUCCAUCUCCUCGCGGGGAGGACAGAAUCCGGCUUA
rnacentral:RNase_P_RNA from 1 species